UUUUCACUGGUUCAACCCAAAUGAAUUAUCAUUAGCCCAAUAGCAAAUAAUAAUAAACAAUAAACAAUAUAUAUAUACUCCCAAUUCAUCUUCCUCCUCAUUUCACCGUAGCCAAAAAUUAGAGGAAGUCCCCCCCUUUUCAAUUGCUGCCAUCGCCGCCCCCCCGUCCGCCGUCGCCGCCUCCACCUCCGGCGGGGCCCUCUCUCUCUCUCUCUCCCCUCCAUCCGUCUCUCUUCUUUCUCUCCUCUCUCCCUCUCUUUCUUCUCUCACUCCUCUCUCCUCUCUCGGCCCUGCUUACGCCGGCGUCGUCGCCGCUGCUGUGCGCGCGGCGGCUCACCGUCGCUGCCUUCUCCCUCUCGGAUUCCGCCGCCGUCACCGCCAUGCACCACCUAGACCGCCGCCGACCUCUCUACCUAUCUCCCUCUUUCUCUCGGAUCCGCCGCUCCCUCGCCAUUCUCCGACAGGUAAGAUUUGUGAAGGGGCGAAAUCAGUGAUGGAUUCGAAGGAGGUUGGGCUGUCAUCGUUGGCUGACAGUUUCCUAGCUCGCCCGGAAUCCGACAGAUUCAUGACCGUGAGAUAAGUUUUCCUAGCUUGUGCUUACUUGGUGGUAGGACUUGGUUUGUCUACUCUAUGGAUUUGGUGACUCUUGAAUAAUGUGUUGCUACUUGGAAGACUCAUGGUGAAACAUGUAAAUCUUGGUGUGAAUUUUUAACUUUGGGCAGAUUCUACUUGCAACUAUAUGUAUGCAGACUUGUACAUAUGAAAGAAAAGAAGGGCUUGGUGUUUACCUUUUGAUGUGGGAACAAAGUGUUGUUGGAUUGUAGGCUUGAUCCUACGAUUGUCUGCAGCUCUCUGCAACUCUCCCUCCUCGUACUCCUUUAUUCUAUAUAUGUGUAUGAAGAGAAUUUGUAGAAUGUUUGAUAGUGAUGGGUUUCCUGAAGUGGAAAGGCUGGGGUUUAUAUAGUUGCUAUUUCUUCAAGUUGCUAUGCAAGUGGAGGGGGGUUUAACAAUGGGGAAGGUUUAACAUGGGGGAGGUUUAAUCUGGGGAGGUUUACUGCCAAAAGAUCUCCUCAAAAUCUCCUAAGGAUCUAAUUUGGAUCCUAUUUCUUGAUCUUACGGCUAAAAAUAUAGCUUGAGAAUUGAGGGAGCAUUUGAAGCUUUGAUCUCUCUGCACUUGCAUUUAAUGUCCAUUCGGUUGAAAUCUUGCAAAGAUUUUGAUUGGAUUUGGGAAUGAAUUUCAUCAAAUCUAUUAUUGGAUUUCAUUUGAUACUCCCUAAUCCAUUCAAAGAUUUACUCCACAAUUUAUUUUGUUACUCUCUCUAAUUCUCUUCUUUUGUAGUAAAUAGCAUCUAUUUAUGGAGCAUGGGCUAUCCUCGUCGAUGUAUCGGCUUUCCUCGGAGCUUGAGCACGACCGUUGAGCGGCUGCCCGAACUUGCAUGCCUAUCUCUUAUUGUAAAAGAUUAGGAUUUGGUUGUAUUGUAUAUUUUAAUUGGACUUCUCGUAUCAUGUACUAUUAUUUGGAUUUAUUAUUUUAAAUUAAUCGUGGUAAAACCAACAACUCCUAUUGUA